rnacentral:rRNA from 1 species
UACAGAGGGUGCGAGCGUUGUUCGGAAUUACUGGGCGUAAAGCGUGCGCAGGCGGUUUUGUAAGCCAGAUGUGAAAGCCCCGGGCUUAACCUGGGAACUGCGCUUGUUACUGGCAAGCUGGAGUGUGGCAGAGGGGGGUGGAAUUCCACGUGUAGCAGUGAAAUGCGUAGAGAUGUGGAGGAACACCGAUGGCGAAGGCAGCCCCCUGGGCUAACACUGACGCUCAUGCACGAAAGCGUGGGGAGCAAACAGG